rnacentral:rRNA from 2 species
UAGGGAAUUUUCGGCAAUGGGCGAAAGCCUGACCGAGCAAUGCCGCGUGAACGAUGAAGGUCUUCGGAUUGUAAAGUUCUUUUAUAAGGGAAGAAAAAACUGAAUAGAAUUUAGUAUAUUGACGGUACCUUAAGAAUAAGCCACGGCUAACUACGUGCCAGCAGCCGCGGUAAUACGUAGGUGGCGAGCGUUAUCCGGAAUUAUUGGGCGUAAAGAGUGAGUAGGCGGUUAGUUAAGUUUAAAGUCAAAGGCUGUGGCUCAACCAUAGUUCGCUUUAAAAACUGACAAACUAGAGUGCGAGAGAGGUUGAUGGAAUUCCAUGUGUAGCGGUGAAAUGCGUAGAUAUAUGGAGGAACACCAGUGGCGAAGGCGGUCAACUGGCUCGUAACUGACGCUCAGUCACGAAAGCGUGGGGAGCAAAUAGG